rnacentral:rRNA from 1 species
CAAAACAUCGCCUCUUGCAAAGCUAAAGAAUAAGAGGUCCCGCCUGCCCUGUGACUAUUAGUUUAACGGCCGCGGUAUUUUGACCGUGCAAAGGUAGCGCAAUCACUUGUCUUUUAAAUGAAGACCUGUAUGAAUGGCACAACGAGGGCUUAACUGUCUCCUCUUUCAAGUCAAUGAAAUUGAUCUCCCCGUGCAGAAGCGGGGAUACAAACAUAAGACGAGAAGACCCUAUGGAGCUUUAGACACCAAAGAAGAUCCUGUCAAGUAACCCCCUAUAAUGGGCCUGAACUAAUGGAAUCCUUCCCUAAUGUCUUUGGUUGGGGCGACCGCGGGGAAACAAAAAACCCCCACGUGGAAAGGGAGCACCCCCUCCUACAAUUAAGAGCCGCAGCUCUAAUUAACAGAAUAUCUGACCAAUAAGAUCCGGCAAUGCCGAUCAACGGACCGAGUUACCCUAGGGAUAACAGCGCAAUCCCCUUUUAGAGCCCAUAUCGACAAGGGGGUUUACGACCUCGAUGUUGGAUCAGGACAUCCUAAUGGUGCAGCCGCUAUUAAGGGUCCGUUUGUUCAACGGUUAAAGUCCUACGUG